CAACGCUGACAGUGAACACAGAGGUGAUCUCAGAGACGGACUCGGUCACGUUACACUGUCAGGCACCAACAUCUGUUUCAGUUCAUCAGUGUUUUUUCUACACGUUCACCUGCUGAAGUUAAAGUGAGAUGUUUUUACACUGGAGACCUUAAUUCAACGUCUGCUGACAGUGAACCAUCCUCCAUCACCAUACAAAGUCAAACACCACAGAUGAGUGUGCAGCAUUUUAAUGGGGAACAUGUUCGGUUUGUUUGCUCUCUGCCUGGAUCUGUGAAAGAUGAUACAAGAUGUAAUCUGU